UAGGGAAUCUUCCACAAUGGACGAAAGUCUGAUGGAGCAACGCCGCGUGAGUGAAGAAGGGUUUCGGCUCGUAAAACUCUGUUGUUAAAGAAGAACAUAUCUGAGAGUAACUGUUCAGGUAUUGGACGGUAUUUAACCAGAAAGCCACGGCUAACUACGUGCCAC
rnacentral:rRNA from 1 species